AUACGGAGGAUGCGAGCGUUAUCCGGAUUUAUUGGGUUUAAAGGGAGCGUAGGUGGGAUAUUAAGUCAGCUGUGAAAGUUUGGGGCUCAACCUUAAAAUUGCAGUUGAUACUGGUUUCCUUGAGUACGGUACAGGUGGGCGGAAUUCGGGGUGUAGCGGGGAAAUGCUUAGAUAUCACGAAGAACUCCGAUCGCGAAGGCAGCUCACCGGGCCGGAACUGACACUGAUGCUCGAAAGUGCGGGUAUCAAACAGGAUUAGAUACCCUGGUAGUCCGCACAGUAAACGAUGAAUACUCGCUGUUUGCGAUACACGGUAAGCGGCCAAGCGAAAGCGUUAAGUAUUCCACCUGGGGAGUACGCCGGCAACGGUGAAACUCAAAUGAAUUGACGGGG
rnacentral:rRNA from 1 species